rnacentral:rRNA from 1 species
AGCGAACGCUGGCGGCAGGCUUAACACAUGCAAGUCGAGCGGGCGUAGCAAUACGUCAGCGGCAGACGGGUGAGUAACGCGUGGGAACAUACCUCUUGGUUCGGAACAACACAGGGAAACUUGUGCUAAUACCGGAUAAGCCCUUACGGGGAAAGAUUUAUCGCCGAAAGAUUGGCCCGCGUCUGAUUAGCUAGUUGGUGAGGUAACGGCUCACCAAGGCGACGAUCAGUAGCNGGUCUGAGAGGAUGAUCAGCCACAUUGGGACUGAGACACGGCCCAAACUCCUACGGGAGGCAGCAGUGGGGAAUAUUGGACAAUGGGCGCAAGCCUGAUCCAGCCAUGCCGCGUGAGUGAUGAAGGCCUU